rnacentral:lncRNA from 1 species
CCCAAAUUGGGGGGGGGGGCGCCGGGGGCUGCUGGAGCGGUGCCGGGAGCGGCUGCAGGGGAGGCGCAAAGGGGGGGGGGGGGGGCGGGGGAGGAGGAGCCCCCCCCCACGGCCAGAGACCCCCCCCGGUGAGGAGGGGCCGCCCCACCUCACCCUCUGAUUGGCCGACUGACGCCUGUGAUUGACAGCUCGGAUUGACCCCUAACACCGGCUCGGAUGAUUGACAGCCCCGGCUGAUUGACAGCUCCACCUGAUUGACAGCUCCACCUGAUUGACAGCUCCAUUUGAUUGACAGCUCCAUUUGAUUGACAGCCCGGGUUGAUUGACACCUCCACUUGAUUGACACUCCAGGCAGCGCGUGAUUGACAGCUCCGUUUGAUUGACAGCCCCAUUUGAUUGACAGCUCAUCAAAUAACAGCCCCUGAUUGACAGCAGCCGGUGAUUGACAGCUCAAUUUGAUUGACAGCCCCGUUUGAUUGACAGCUCCACUUGAUUGACAGCCCGGGUUGAUUGACAGCCUCGUCUGAUUGACAGCCGUGAUUGACAGCUCCGGUUGAUUGACAUCUCCAGUUUGAUUGACAGCCCGGGUUGAUUGACAGCUCCAUUUGAUUGACAGCCCCGUUUGAUUGACAGCUCCAGUUGACACUUGAUUGACAGCUCCAUUUGAUUGACAGCCCCGUUUGAUUGACAGCCCCGUUUGAUUGACAGCCGCCUGGCCCCGCCCCCGCUUAUUUAACAGACUCCGCCCCCUCCCCUGACCCCGCCCCCUCCCCCCUCCCCCCC